UAUUAGGUUGGUGCAAAAGUAAUUGCAGUUUUGGCAAUUACUUUAAUGGCAAAAACUGAAAUUACUUUUACACCAA
ensembl:miRNA